GACGAACGCUGGCGGCGUGCCUAAUACAUGCAAGUCGAACGCAGUGGGGACGGGUGAGUAACACGUGGGUAACCUCCCAUCAGAGGGGAUAACACUUGGCAACAGGUGCUAAACCGAUAUUGGAGGAGCGACCCGCGGUGCAUUAGCUAGUUGGUGGGGUAACGGCUCACCAAGGCGACGAUGCAUAGCUGGCCUGAGAGGGUGACCGGCCACACUGGGACUGAGACACGGCCCAGACUCCUACGGGAGGCAGCAGUGGGGAAUCUUCGGCAAUGGGCGAAAGUCUGACCGAGCAACGCCGCGUGUAUGAAGAAGGCUUUCGGGUCGUAAAGCUCUGUUGUUGGAGAAGCGGUAUCUAACCAGAAAGCACCGGCUAACUACGUGCCAGCAGCCGCGGUAAUUC
rnacentral:rRNA from 1 species